rnacentral:rRNA from 1 species
AGAGUUUGAUUAUGGCUCAGGAUGAACGCUGGCGGCGUGCUUAACACAUGCAAGUCGAACGAGCACUUCGGUGCGAGUGGCGGACGGGUGAGUAACGCGUGGGUAACCUGCCCUGUACAGGGGAAUAACAGAGAGAAAUCUCUGCUAAUGCCGCAUAAGCGCACGGCACCGCAUGGUGCAGUGUGAAAAGCUCCGGCGGUACAGGAUGGACCCGCGUCUGAUUAGCUGGUUGCGGGGUAACGGCCCACCAAGGCAACGAUCAGUAGCCGGCCUGAGAGGGUGAUCGGCCACAUUGGGACUGAGAUACGGCCCAGACUCCUACGGGAGGCAGCAGUGGGGAAUAUUGCACAAUGGGGGAAACCCUGAUGCAAGCAACGCCGCGUGAGUGAAGAAGUAUUUCGGUAUGUAAAGCUCUAUCAGCAGGGAAGAAGAUGACGGUACCUGCACAAGAAGCCCCGGCUAACUACGUGCCAGCCGCAGC